rfam:Strongyloides stercoralis strain PV0001 genome assembly, scaffold: SSTP_contig0000070
UCUCUGGUAGUAUAGUGGUGAGUAUCCGCGCCUGUCACGUGCGAGACCGGGGUUCGAUUCCCCGCCAGAGAG